AUUGAACGCUGGCGGCAUGCCUUACACAUGCAAGUCGAGCGGAGCGGCGGACGGGUGAGUAAUGCCUAGGAAUCUGCCUGGUAGUGGGGGAUAACGUCCGGAAACGGGCGCUAAUACCGCAUACUAUCAGAUGAGCCUAUGUCGGAUUAGCUAGUUGGUGGGGUAAAGGCUUACCAAGGCGACGAUCCGUAGCUGGUCUGAGAGGAUGAUCAGUCACACUGGGACUGAGACACGGUCCAGACUCCUACGGGAGGCAGCAGUGGGGAAUAUUGGACAAUGGGCGAAAGCCUGAUCCAGCCAUGCCGCGUGUGUGAAGAAGGUCUUCGGAUUGUAAAGCACUUUAAGCUGGGAGGCGGUACCAACAGAAUAAGCACCGGCUAACUACGUGCCAGCAGCCGCGGUAAUUC
rnacentral:rRNA from 1 species